UUUUUCAAUCCUUUUCAGUUGUUAUACUGGUAGGAUGACAUGGUCGAUAUUUGGUUCAGAUUUGCAUCAAGUUGUUUUCGUAGUUCUCCUUUGUUACUGAAAUUAUCUGUAGGGAGUUUAUAAUUCUUGGUUCAAUUAUAUAUAGAAAACUUUGUCCACCUAAUUUUUUUGUGUUUCAAAGGUAGUAAGAUUAUGCAGUACCUAUCUGCAGUGCUGAUGAUGGAGUCAGACAGCUGGCCAGUCCAAGUUGUCGAUGUCGCCUCCAUUGAGGUGCUUGCCCAGUCCGCGGUGCUGUCGUUCUGAGUGUCACGCCCACAGGAAGAUCCCGAGAUCCCCUCGCAAGGCACUGGAUGAGCCUGCAUUGUGGGAUGACUUCAGCUGAGCCUCAUGGAUUGGUCUAUGCAUAAUGCCUACAUAGGGAAAUAUCAUGGAUGUUGCUUUGUGGAGGAGAUAAUACUAUUGGUUUGAAUAGUGAAAAUCUGUACGUAAGUGGGCAAGCAGAGAUUCAGAUUCCCUUGUAAUUACAGGUAUCUCAGGACCACAAAUCUACAUACAUGAGAAUCAAACUGCUAAUAUGACUCUGUUGUCUGUUAUCUUGUUUCUGUUAUGAUGUGAUCUCCUUGUUUUAUUCCGUUUCAGUUUAGUAAGUAGUCUCAAUGGUCCGGUGAGAGGCUAAUUAAACAUUAAUUAAAUUUCUCCACUACUGUUUGAGGCCAUAAUUUUCAGUGUGUGAGACAUUUAGCAUAAGUUUUCUUUUCUUUUAGUAUCUGCAUAUAUGAAGAGCCUGCGUGAUGUACUGGACAUCAGGCUUGAAGUAGAAUAUUAUCUGCCAGAUCCACCACAAGGACAUGUUAGCGAAAUUCGCUUUUUCUUACAAAAGGUAUGAAUAAUUGGAGUGUGAUUUAAGUGUUUUUGUGGGUUAUCUUUAUUAUUUAUUGCCCUUUCCUACUUUCAGCGGUGCUCUUAUUUCCAUCGGUUACGUAGUAAUGAACUUUUCAUACAUGUGUCCUUCCAAAAUCUGUAUUGCAGACUAUUCUCGAGCAGUUAUUUGACGAAAGCUACCUUAUAAACAGAGUGUACAUUCUGAUGACGUGUCUUGAAUGCAGUAGUGCUAUCUUCACUAUCUCUCGCAUUGGCCGGUGACUUCGCUGAGGGUGGAGAAACAAAUUGACGAUGCAUCAGUGUAGCGCGGGUAGUGGCUUUGCUGUGGAUUGUAAAGUUGUAGCUUGAAAGCAGUAGCAUGGAUGUAUAGAGAUGCAAAUCUGAAAUGAACUAGGCAAACUGCAAAAUUAGUUUUAAAGAGAAAUUGUGUUCUCACAACUUGAUCGAAGUGGAGAAGUCAUAUUUGCCAAUAUUGAAGAACAUGUUACUGUGUCAGAUGAAGUAACUGAUGAGCAUGGUCCAACUAUAGAGAUGGCUGAAGGAGACAUGGAAAUGGUGUAUGGCAGCAGGUUGUUGCAACUGAAGGUGAAGAGGAGGUGCCUCCGAAGGAAACGCCAUAAGGAUCUAGAGAUAGUUCCAUGCAGGGGCAACAAAGAUUUUGUUAUAAACCAAUGUUUUAUCUGCUAUUGUCGUGACUUGUGAUAGAUAAUGGUUUUAAUUUGAUAUACGAGUAUCAACAGUAUUGACUUCUUUGAUGUUU